ncrna:unclassified sequences DTF3268 RNA
GGCAGGAGCUUGCGUUCAGGCUCUCGAUACGUCUAUGGUACGGCGUCAGACUUCGCCUCGGGGAUGAGGCAAGGAAUCGUUACGGAUUUGCGCACUGAGCAAGUCCACAACAACGCAGGCA